rnacentral:tRNA from 1 species
UUCCUGGUGGCUCAGAUGGUAAAGCAUCUGUCUACAAUGCAGGAGACCCAGGUUCGAGCCCUGAGUUGGGAA